CAAAAAAAGUUUUAGGAACUACAUUCAUUAUAGCAGGUUUUGAUUUUUUAAUUUGUUUUUAAAGGAUGGUUUUAUUUACUAUUACCCCUUGAUUCUUCUCUCUAUUCUCACUUCCCUAAAAUACCCCUCUCAACUAGUCUGUACCAUUUCAAAAUUGCACUGAGACAUUUCUUUGAUUAUCUCUUUAUUAAUGAGUUAUCAUGAGGAAACAGGAGAACAGGGCUUCCUCCUAAUUAUUGGUAUGAGUUUAAGCUUGAUGUCUUCUUCUGUGAACUGUUACUUAAUUAGAUUAGUGGUUUUAUACUGUCUUAGCCACUGAGAUUUUUAUUCAAAGUAUGUAUCUCUCCUUCUCCAAAAUGUCUGAGGAAUAACAUAUUCUAUAAGAUUCAAAAGUCUUGAAAUAACUAUCAUUUUGAAAAUAUAUUCUGCUAUUCAUUAGGGCUAUGAAUUUCAGGUAUCUCUAGUGCUGAUAUCACUUGGCAGUGAACAUUUACUGUUUAAUGAUGGUUUACAGGACUUUAUUUCUCCUUUACUCAGAACUGUGUAUAAGGCCAUAAUGACCUAGUUCAAACCACAUUUCCAGCCCAAUUUCAUCAACUUCCCUGGAAAAGUUUGGUCCAGCCACAUAUGCUUUAGCCCAUUUUUCUUACAUCACCCAGGUGAAGCAGUGCUCCUCCUAGCCAAGAAUCAUGCAUCAGAACCCUUCUUUCUUCUACAUCCUCUGGGACUUCAUUCUAUCAAUUUGCUCUUCUUUUUUUUUGUCUUCAACCUCCAUCUUUUUGUGAUGAUAAUUAAGUACUCACAUGUACACACAUUCAAAAACACAGAAAUAAGGUGCUUUUGUUUUGUGGAGACACUUUUUCCUUUUCCAAUUCUAACAGGUAUGCAUGUUUGAACUGCUUUAUUUCAAAAGAAUAAAACAAGAUUUUCAAAUAUAAUUAAGCAUAUUAAAAAAGCGUAAAAUAAUACUUUUAAUAAAAUUCAUAUCAUAUUUAGGUACAAUAAACAGUAUUUGCCAAAUAUGUUAAUGUAUUUUUCAUCUCAUUUUUCUAUUUUAUGUCUGUAAUUUAACUAUUGUUAGUACUCUAGCACAUAUAUGCAUUUUAUAUAUUUUUUAUUAAUAGUGGUGCACAAUUGAAAUUUUGGUAACUAUUGAAUUAAAGAAAAUUGGUUUCAUAUAAUAUCUUCCUGCAAUAUUUGAAUACAUAUAAAAAUCCUUACCAAAAGCUAAGACAUAAAUCUAUGUACCUCUAUUUUUAAUCCAAAGUCAUUUUAUAAGUUGAGAAAGUAAUUGAAAAUGUAUUUUUCCUGUAAAGAAAUGCACUAAGCAUUUUUUUCAUAUAAAAUUUAAUGAGUCAAUUGCUAAGCAAAUAUUACCAUUGGGGGUGAAGGACAUAUGAGUUCUAUCUGUAUUAUUUCUUAUAACUGCUUAUGUAUCUACAAUAUCUCAAAAUAAAAAGUUAAAAUUAAUGAGUCAAAAGUUAUCAGGGUUGAAUUUUUGAUUCCUACAGGUUGCAUGAAUAAUAUUAUCAGAUAAUAUACACAAGAUCAGAGUUGCAAGAUAAUAUUAACUUUAUCUAAAUGUUCAUGAAUAGUUUCAGAUAUAUCUUUUGAAACUGACUAUUUUAAUGUACAUGUAUUGUAAUACAAAGGUAGAUUAAAAGUUAUUCUAAAAAUUGAGUGUACAGAGUAGAAUGUUCAAAAUCUCUCUCACCAAGCAUUAUUCAUAAUUCCAGUCCUUUUCUCAGAAAAAGCCACUGUUACUCAUUAUAUUUGUUUUAUUCAGUACGAGUGUUUUCAACAUAUUUUUUGGUCACUACAAUAAAGAUUAAUAUGCUUAACAGCUAUAUCACAUUUAACAUCUGCUUGAAUUGGAUGUGCCAUAAAUCACUUAACCAUUUUUCUAUUAAUAAAAUUACAUUAAUAUCCAAUAGUUUAUUAUUACAGUAAAAGAUGCAAUUAAACAUUUCUACAUAUCUUUUUGUCUAAAUGUAAAUAUAUUUCCAUAGGAAAUCAAACUGUUGAAUUUUGAAUAUUUACAUUUAAGUUCUGAGGGCUCUCAAAUUGUCCUCCACAACAUAUUAAUAGAACUUUAUGAAAGUAUAAUUUUCCCCACAUACUGUUAAAUGUAAUAUUAACAAAUGAAGAGUGAUAACAUGGUGGGCAAACUAUUAGAUAUUUUGGUUAUUUUAAUUUCAUUUUACUGAUUACUAAAGGUAUUUGGCAUUGUUCAUAUGCUCAUAGGCCAUUUGAGUUACUUCUUCUGUGAAUUGCUUGUGCAAUUCCUCUACUUAAUAAUCUAUUGUCUUGCUUGUGGUAGUUCUUUUUUCUGUGUACAUUAAUCAUUUUAUAAUGAUAUGUUUCAAACAUUUCUCUUAGUUUUUUCCUGUACAUUGUUAAAAUAUUUAGAGAUGACCUG
rnacentral:lncRNA from 10 species